rnacentral:rRNA from 1 species
GAAGUAGUGGCUAACUCCGUGCCAGCAGCCGCGGUAAUACGGAGACUACGAGCGUUACUCGGAUUCACUGGGCGUAAAGGGAGCGCAGGCGGAUUGGUGUGUUAUGUGUGAAAUGCCGGGGCUUAACUCCGGAGCUGCGCGUAAAACUAUCAGUCUAGAGACUUGGAGAGGUAAGCGGAAUUUCCGGUGUAGCGGUAAAAUGCGUAGAUAUCGGAAGGAACACCGAAGGCGAAGGCAGCUUACUGGACAAGAUCUGACGCUCAAGCUCGAAAGCGUGGGGAGCGAAAGGGAUUAGAUACCCCUGUAGUCCACGCCCUAAACAUUGUACACUAGGUAUUGGAGGAAUCAUCCCCUUCAGUGCCCCAGCUAACGCGAUAAGUGUACCGCCUGAGGACUACGACCGCAAGGUUAAAACUCAAAGAAAUUGACGGGGGCCCGCACAAGCAGAGGAGCAUGUGGCUUAAUUCGAUGCAACGCGAAGAACCUUACCUGGGCUUGACAUCGCGGGCGAUGCCCCCGGAAACGGGGGCGGAGGCCAUCCCGCAGACAGGUGCUGCAUGGCUGUCGUCAGUUCGUGCCGUGAGGUGUUUGGUUAAGUCCACCAACGAACGCAACCCCCUCGGCCAGUUGCCAGCGGACAAUGCCGGGAACUCUGGCCGCACUGCCGUUUCACGACGGAGGAAGGUGGGGACGACGUCAAGUCAGUAUGGCCCUUACGCCCAGGGCCGCACACGUGCUACAAUGGCCGGUACAGAGGGACGCGAGGCCGCGAGGCGGAGCCAACCCCCCAGAGCCGGCCCCAGUUCGGAUCGGGGUCUGCAACCCGACCCCGUGAAGUCGGAUUUGCUAGUAACGGCGCAUCAGCUACGGCGCCGUGAAUGCGUUCCCGGGCCUUGUACACACCGCCCGUCACAUCAUGAAAGCCGUCUGCACCCGAAGUCCGGCGACUGUCGGCCUAAGGUGUGGGUGGUGAUUGGGAUGAAGUCGUAACAAGGUAACCGUUGGGGAACCAGCGGUUG